rnacentral:rRNA from 1 species
AGAGUUUGAUCCUGGCUCAGGACGAACGCUGGUGCUUAACACAUGCAAGUCGAGCGGACUCCAUGCAGUAGCAAUACUGCGGAAGAGUUAGUGGCGAACGGGUGAGUAUCACGUGAGAAACCAACCCCGGUCUCUGGGAUAACAGGUGGAAACACCUGCUAAUACCGGAUGCCGUCGUUUCCUCGCAUGGGGAGAUGAAAGGGCUACCGGAUCGGGACGGUCUCGCGGCCUAUCAGCUUGUUGGGGAGGUAACGGCUCACCAAGGCUUCGACGGGUAGCUGGUCUGAGAGGAUGAUCAGCCACACUGGGACUGCUCACCAAGGCUUCGACGGGUAGCUGGUCUGAGAGGAUGAUCAGCCACACUGGGACUGCUCACCAAGGCUUCGACGGGUAGCUGGUCUGAGAGGAUGAUCAGCCACACUGGGACUGAACACGGCCCAGACUCCUACGGGAGGCAGCAGUGGGGAAUCUUGCGCAAUGGGCGAAAGCCUGACGCAGCAACGCCGCGUGCGGGAUGAAGGCCUUCGGGUUGUAAACCGCUUUUACCAGGAAGGAAAAUGACAGUACCUGGAGAAUAAGGUGCGGCCAACUACGUGCCAGCAGCCGCGGUGACACGUAGGCACCAAGCGUUGUCCGGAUUUAUUGGGCGUAAAGAGCUCGUAGGCGGUUCAGUAAGUCGGGUGUGAAAACUCUGGGCUCAACUCAGAGACGCCACCCGAUACUGCUGUGACUUGAGUCCGGUAGGGGAGUGGGGAAUUCCUGGUAUAGCGGUGAAAUGCGCAGAUAUCAGGAGGAACACCAAUGGCGAAAGGCACCACUCUGGGCCGAGACUGACGCUGAGGAGCGAAAGCGUGGGUAGCAAACAGGAUUAGAUACCCUGGUAGUCCACGCCGUAAACGGUGGGCACUAGGUGUGGGUUCCAACCAACGGAAUCCGCGCCGGCGCUAACGCAUUAAGUGCCCGCCUGGGGAGUACGGCCGCAAGGUUAAAACUCAAAGGAAUUGACGGGGGCCCGCACAGCAGCGGGAGCGGUGUGCUUAAUUCGAUGCUACGCGAGA